rnacentral:rRNA from 1 species
GAUGAACGCUGACAGAAUGCUUAACACAUGCAAGUCUUUGGCGAAUCUGUGCUUGCACAGGCUAGCCAAGGCGGACGGGUGAGUAACGCGUAAAGAACUUGCCCUGCAGACAGGGAUAACAGACGGAAACGACUGAUAACACCUGAUACGGUUGCCGGCACGCAUGUGCCUGGCAAUGAAAAGAGAUGCUGCAGGAGAGCUUUGCGUCCUAUUAGCUUGUUGGUGAGGUGACGGCUCACCAAGGCGAUGAUAGGUAGCCGGCCUGAGAGGGUGAACGGCCACAAGGGGACUGAGAUACGGCCCUUACUCCUACGGGAGGCAGCAGUGGGGAAUAUUGGACAAUGGGGGCAACCCUGAUCCAGCAAUUCUGUGUGCACGAAGAAGGUUUUCGGAUUGUAAAGUGCUUUCAGCAGGGAAGAAGAAAGUGACGGUACCUGCAGAAGAAGCGACGGCUAAAUACGUG